rnacentral:lncRNA from 1 species
GUGGAAAAGAAAUGAGAUGGAUGAGAAAAGGAGAAGAGAGUCACCUGUUUAGGGAAGUAUGGAGAUGCUAAACCUGGCCAUGAUCACGGGGAGCAUUUUGCUAAUGCUGAAACAAACCUGAUGCUACAGGCUCGGCCCCGAGGUUAUACCCACCAAGAGGAAGUAUGUCCGGAAUUGGUGGGUUCUUGCAGUCACUGACUUCAAGAAUGAAGCCGCGGACCCUCGCGGUGAGUGUUACAGCUCUUAAGCUGGCGCGUCUGGAGUUUGUUCCUUCUGAUGUUCAGAUGUGUUCGGGGUUUCUUCCUUCUGGUGGGUUCGUGGUCUCGCUGGCUCAGGAGUGAAGCUGCAGACCUUGCGGUGAGUGUUACAGCUCUUAAGGCAGCGCGUCUGGAGUUGUUCCUUCCUCCCGGUGAACUCGUGGUGUCGCUGGCUUCAAGAGUGAAGCUGCAGAUCUUCGCGGUGAGUGUUACAACUCAUAAAAGCGGCGUGGACCCAGAGUGAGCAGUAGCAAGAUUUGUUGCAAAGAGCGAAAGAACAAAGCUUCCACAGUGUGGAAAGGAACCCGAGUGUGUUGCCACUGCUCGCUCGUGCAGCCGGCUUUUAUUCUCUUAUUUGGUCCCACCCACGACCUGCUGAUUGGUAGAACCCAGUGGUCUGUUUUGACAGGGUGCUGACUGGUGUGUUUACAAUCCCUGAGCUAGACAUAAAGGUUUUCCACGUCCCCAUCAGAUCAGUUAGAUACAGAGUAGCGACACAAAGGUUCUCCAAG